rnacentral:lncRNA from 1 species
AAAAGGGGGCGCACUUCCUGUGUUCUGGGCUGGCCUUUUCCUCUCCCAGGUGCGCUUCCCUGCUUGAUCUGUGUACCCUGCUCUUUCUCCUUCAUUCCGCAGCCUCCUUUGCCCUGUGACCUGCAGGUACUGGACGGUCCCUAGAGAGGAUACCGGGACGCUCCUGAAGCCGCGAGAUGAUUUCAAGCAGAUGCAGCCUGACCAUUAGGGCCAAGGCCAAAUUGCAAAAAAAAAAAGAAGUUUGCCUUUAUUCUACUCCAUCCACAUCUAAACUUUGGAGGUCAAGGCUGUGGACAGAUCAGAAGACAUAGUUCCCUCCUUCUGGGGCUCCACAUCCUUCAUUCACUGAUCUCUGGGAAGGAGGAUGGGUGGCAGGAUGGGUCUUCCAUGAUACUGAAGGGAGAGCCACAUGUUGAUGCCCAGGACCAGCUGCCUCCUUGGUCUGAAAGGCCUGAUCGAGGCCAGGAUUGGCUAUGAGAGCUGGGAAAUGGGACCAUCUUUGAAGCCAUGGGAGAGGGUGAGAGCCACCAUCACUCAUGUUCUUGAAUGGGAACUGCCUGGAGACCCUGAAGAAGAAGGAGCCUGAAGGAGGAAGGAGGAGGCUGAGCCAUCCCGGGAACAUGGGCUGGAUGAGGCCAAGCCAGGAGACGACACCACCAGAUAGAAGUCACCAUUCAGGAUUUGGACUUUUCUGUGGAGAUCCUGGCCCCGAGAUCGAACCCUUCUCCCUGUGGGUGUUCCCGCAGGAGAUGGUGCUGGAGAUCCACCAGCUGUUCAUGGACCAUGAAUACCCAUGUCACCACAUCACUUCUCACUGCACCUGGGUGGCAGCACACUGGACCACGUCUCAGAGCUGCGCAGCAUGGCAGGGCUGCAGGCGGGCUUGCUGCUCCACGUGGUGGAAGACGGCAGGAGCAGAAAGACUUGGAGAUGGACCCCACCGACUGCACACCACCCAAGUACAUCCUGCUAGGGACCCUGGAACAGCCACUGUGUCCCCUGCAACCCCAGAACGGUGACUAAAAGCCCCUGAAAGUGCUCACCGUGAGCGGCUGGUACCUGUCCCCUGGGAACUGCAAGAUGCACAGGACCUUGUGUACCUGUUUGUGAUCACAGCCGAGGACCAGCGAGGUAGCAUUACCACAUCCACACAGGGCUUUUACCAUAACUGCCCCAGUACUGGAACGAGGAGCUGCAGAUGAUGAGGGACCUACCCAACAAGAACCAACCUGAGCAGCUGCUUCAAGAAAAAGCCAUGUUCAAGGUGCCUGAAUCCCCUGGUAAGUGAGUGACAGCCUCACAGCCUCAGGCCCACCUGGCUCCUGCUGGAAGGUUUUCUUGUGCUCGGGAGAGAAGUGAGGGAAGCCGGCAGUCCCAGCCCUGUCAGGUGCCCUGAAGGCCCGUCAGGUUUGCCCUGCAAGGCCUUCUAGCAUUCUGCUUCCUGGGAGACCAUCCCCCACCUUUCUCCGGCCUCUGAGACUUUGAGUCCUUGGGAGGAGAAGGCCCUCCUUGCUAUCUGGGCUGAGUGGCCAGGGCCAUCCAGCUUCCCACCCUCCACUGACUGCCAUGGGGCCCUCCCCUGAGCACAUGGUGCCCAACUGUAGCCCUUCUAGGGCAGGGGCUCAUUGGCAGCACUUGCAGCUUGCUGGCACUUAAAAGUCAUUAGUGCGGUUACUGAGAGAAAUGAGGAAAAAAUAAUUGUUAAAAAAAAAAAAAAA